rnacentral:rRNA from 1 species
GACGGGGGAUGCAAGCGUUAUCCGGAGUUACUGGGCGUAAAGCGCACGCAGGCGGUCUUUUAAGUUUGGAGUGACAGUUGGUGGCUUAACUGCCAAAGUGCUUCGAAAACUGACAGACUUGAGGGCUUCAGAGGGACACGGAAUUCCGGGUGGAGUGGUGAAAUGCGUAGAUAUCGAGAGGAACACCGGUGGCGAAGGCGGCCAACUGGACGAAUACUGACGCUGAGACUCGAAAGCGUGGGGAGCAAACAGG